GGGUUUUUAACUUAGGUUUGGGUGGCGGACGGGUGAGUAACGCGUAAAGAACUUGCCUCACAGGUAGGGACAACAUUUGGAAACGAAUGCUAAUACCUAAUAUUAUGAUAAUAGGGCAUCCUAUAAUUAUGAAAGCUAUAAGCGCUGUGAGAGAGCUUUGCGUCCCAUUAGCUAGUUGGAGAGGUAACGGCUCACCAAGGCGAUGAUGGGUAGCCGGCCUGAGAGGGUGAUCGGCCACAAGGGGACUGAGACACGGCCCUUACUCCUACGGGAGGCAGCAGUGGGGAAUAUUGGACAAUGGACCAAGAGUCUGAUCCAGCAAUUCUGUGUGCACGAUGAAGUUUUUCGGAAUGUAAAGUGCUUUCAGUUGGGAAGAAAGAAAUGACGGUACCAACAGAA
rnacentral:rRNA from 1 species